rnacentral:rRNA from 1 species
AUACGUAGGGUGCGAGCGUUGUCCGGAAUUACUGGGCGUAAAGAGCUCGUAGGUGGUUUGUCGCGUCGUCUGUGAAAUUCCGGGGCUUAACUCCGGGCGUGCAGGCGAUACGGGCAUAACUUGAGUACUGUAGGGGAGACUGGAAUUCCUGGUGUAGCGGUGAAAUGCGCAGAUAUCAGGAGGAACACCGGUGGCGAAGGCGGGUCUCUGGGCAGUAACUGACGCUGAGGAGCGAAAGCAUGGGUAGCGAACAGGAUUAGAUACCUUGGUAGUCCAUGCCGUAAACGGUGGGCGCUAGGUGUAGGGGUCUUCCACGACUUCUGUGCCGUAGCUAACGCAUUAAGCGCCCCGCCUGGGGAGUACGGCCGCAAGGCUAAAACUCAAAGGAAUUGACGGGG